CCUACGGGAGGCAGCAGUCAAGAAUAUUCCCCAAUGGCCGAAAGGCUGAGGGAGCGACGCCGCGUGUAUGAAGAAACCCUUCGGGGUGUAAAGUACUUUUAACCGGGACGAAACAAUGACGGUACCGGUUGAAUAAGGGGCUGCUAAACUCGUGCCAGCAGCAGCGGUAAUACGAGUGCCCCAAGCGUUAUCCGGAUUUAUUGGGCGUAAAGCGUACGUAGGUGGUUUAUCGCAUCUCCUGUUAAAUCCCGAGGCUCAACUUCGGGGCUGCGGGAGAGAUGGCUAAACUAGAGACCGGGAGAGGUAAGCGGAAUUGCUGGUGUAGGGGUUAAAUCCGUUAAUAUCAGCAAGAACACCUAAUGUGAAGACAGCUUACUAGAACGGUUCUGACACUAAGGUACGAAAGCGUGGGGAGCGAAUGGGAUUAGAUACCCCGGUAGUCC
rnacentral:rRNA from 1 species